UACAGAGGGUGCGAGCGUUAAUCGGAAUUACUGGGCGUAAAGCGUGCGUAGACGGUUACAUAAGUCGGGUGUGAAAGCCCCGGGCUCAACCUGGGAAUUGCAUUCGAGACUGCGUAGCUAGGGUGCGGAAGAGGGAAGCGGAAUUUCCGGUGUAGCGGUGAAAUGCGUAGAUAUCGGAAGGAACACCAGUGGCGAAAAGCGGCUUCCUGGUCCAGCACCGACGUCAGGCACGAAAGCGUGGGGAGCAAACAGG
rnacentral:rRNA from 1 species